UACGAAGGGGGCUAGCGUUGCUCGGAAUCACUGGGCGUAAAGGGUGCGUAGGCGGGUCUUUAAGUCAGGGGUGAAAUCCUGGAGCUCAACUCCAGAACUGCCUUUGAUACUGAGGAUCUUGAGUACGGGAGAGGUGAGUGGAACUGCGAGUGUAGAGGUGAAAAUUCGUAGAUAUUCGCAAGAACACCAGUGGCGAAGGCGGCUCACUGGCCCGUAACUGACGCUGAGGCACGAAAAGCGUGGGGGAGCAAACAGGGA
rnacentral:rRNA from 1 species